UACGUAGGGGGCUAGCGUUGUCCGGAAUCAUUGGGCGUAAAGAGCGUGUAGGCGGCCCGGUAAGUCCGCUGUGAAAGUCAAAGGCUCAACCUUUGAAUGUCAGCGGAUACUGCCGGGCUAGAGUCCGGAAGAGGCGAGUGGAACUCCUGGUGUAGCGGUGGAAUGCGCAGAUAUCAGGAAGAACACCAACGGCGAAGGCAGCUCGCUGGGACGGUACUGACGCUGAGGUGCGAAAGCGUGGGGAGCAAACAGG
rnacentral:rRNA from 1 species